rnacentral:rRNA from 1 species
GACGAACGCUGGCGGCGUGCUUAACACAUGCAAGUCGAACGGUGAAGGUGGAGCUUGCUCCGCCGGAUCAGUGGCGAACGGGUGAGUAACACGUGGGCAACCUGCCCCUGACUUCGGGAUAACUCCUCGAAAGAGGUGCUAAUACCGGAUACGAAUCCUGCAGGCAUCUGCGGGAUUGGAAAGUUUUUCGGUCAGGGAUGGGCCCGCGGCCUAUCAGCUUGUUGGUGAGGUAGUGGCUGACCAAGGCGACGACGGGUAGCCGGCCUGAGAGGGCGACCGGCAACACUGGGACUGAGACACGGCCCAGACUCCUACGGGAGGCAGCAGUGGGGAAUAUUGCGCAAUGGGCGAAAGCCUGACGCAGCAACGCCGCGUGAGGGAUGACGGCCUUCGGGUUGUAAACCUCUUUCAGCAGGGAAGAAGCGAAAGUGACGGUACCUGCAGAAGAAGCACCGGCUAACUACGUGCCAGCCGCCGCGGUAA